GGCACCAUUCCAGCAGACAGCAACCUGAGUACCUGCCAAGGCACCGGUGAAUCAGAGCUGUUCAGGUGCCAUCUGGUGUGAGCUGGGAACAAGAAAUUAAGGAAGGAAGUUCAUCUAAAAUGAAAGGAGAGUCUGCUGUGGAGCUGGCCCUUAGGUCGAGUGGCCUGAAGCCUGUGAGGCAAGAUAUAUGCAGCCCACACCAGGAAAAAGAAAAUUGCGUUCACAGCGCUUCCAACUCCCAGUUUAGCCAUCGCCUCAGGGACGGAUGAUGCAUGUGUCACUUUUUGUUCUUGUUGUAAUCCUUGU